GGAUGUGAGGGCUAUCUGGCUGCAACAUGUCACCCCACUGAUCGCCAGGGUUGAUUCAGCUGAUCUGGCUGGCUAGGCGGGUGUCCCCUUCCUCCCUCACUGCUCCAUGUGCUUCAAAGCUGCAUGCUCGGUCGAAUAGGACGACCUUCCCCAAUGGAGGUGUACCGUUCAUCGGUCAAGGGUAUACGGUAGCUGCGCUCCCCUGCUAGAACCUCCAAACAAACAAGCUGUGAUUCUUGUAAAAGUGUUCAAUGCUAUUCUUUAAAAAAAAAUAAACAAAAAAACAAAAAUAAACAAACAAAAAAACACUGAAAUUU
rfam:Anas platyrhynchos breed Pekin duck contig106002, whole genome shotgun sequence.